UCUGUCGCCCAGACUGGAGUGCGGUGGCGCAAUCUCGGCUCACUGCAAGCUCUGUCUUCCGGGUUCAUGCCAUUCUCCUGCCUCAGCCUCCUGAGUAGCUGGGACUACAGGCGCCCGCCAUUACGCCCGGCUAAUUUUAUUUUAUUUUAUUUUUAGUAGAGACAGGGUUUCACUGUGUUAGCCAGGAUGGUCUGUGUCUCCUGACCUCGUGAUCCGCCCGCCUCGGCCUCCCAAAGUGCUGGGAUUACAAAAUGCGUGAGCCACCACGCCCGGCUGAUGGUUUUAUUAAUAUAAGGGACUUUAACCCUUUGCUCAGGACUUCUACUUGCUGCUGCCAUGUGAAGAAGGACAUAUCUGCUUCCCCUUUCACCAUGAUUGUAAGUUUCCUGAGGCCUCCCCAGCCCUGCAGAACUGAUCCCAUCCAGAAUACAUUACCUUUAGUCAUCAUGUCUCCUGUGGCUCUUCUUGGCUGUGACAGUUUCUCAGCUUUCCCAGUUUUAAUGAACUUGCCAUUUUCAUCACAUUGUACCAAGACCUACUAUCAAUAUAACUUAUGACUAGUGGUGCUGACCUUGAUCACCUGGCUGAGGUAGUUCUUGUCAGGCUUCUCCACUGUCGAGUUGCCCUCCCCAUCCCCCCUUUCCAUAUUGUACUCUUUGAAAGAAAGUCACUAUGUGCAGCCCUUCCUUAAAAAUAUUAAAAUGAACUAGCUUAA